rnacentral:lncRNA from 1 species
GGGGGACGGGGACGGCUAAUUGCACCCUUUAGCAUUUCCCCAAAAAGAGAAAUCAUUCUUCAUUGUCACUUGUCAUUGGUUUCUUUUGCUUUUUCCUUUCUUUUCUUUUUUUUUUUUUGGUGUCAUUCUCUCUCCCCCUUCUUUUCACAAUUUGUUUAUGUUUUCUUGCCCAAAAAGAAAAAAGUAAAUUAGACCAAGAUUAUUAAAUUAUU